UACGUAGGGUGCAAGCGUUGUCCGGAAUUAUUGGGCGUAAAGAGCUCGUAGGCGGUUUGUCGCGUCUGCCGUGAAAGUCCGGGGCUCAACUCCGGAUCUGCGGUGGGUACGGGCAGACUGGAGGUAUGCAGGGGAGAACGGAAUUCCUGGUGUAGCGGUGAAAUGCGCAGGAUAUCAGGAGGAACACCGGUGGCGAAGGCGGUCUCUGGGCAGUGUCCUGACGCUGAGGAGCGAAAGUGUGGGGAGCGAAC
rnacentral:rRNA from 1 species